AGUAAUAAAAACCUAGCCCAGUUGUCAAGCUCUCCUUCUGCAACAAUGGCUGCUUCAGAUUAAUAGGGUUCAUACAUCGGCCUCUUCUUAAGCUCUCAUUCCUCAACAAUGGCCGGUUACAGAUUCAUAGGUUUCAUAGCGUCGUCUUCGUCUUUCUGUAAUCAGGGCAACCGACGGUGUAGAUUCUGGAGGCAACCGUUACAGAAUGCAUUGAUGCGAUGCCAUUGACGACCUUCUUAACUCCUUAGCCUCACUCCAUCCACGAUAAUUCAUUCAAUGCAUCUUAACUCAUCAAGGCGGUGGAACUUGAGCUAUAAAAAGACAAUCGAUUUCCGUUUCUAUCUCAGACCAUCGUUUGCGGCGGACUAUAAUGACCGGACUCUUGCUAUCAUGUCUUGAUUGCAUAGAGUUUGAGAUAUGUGGAGCUUAAAGGUGGCCGUCUUACUAACUCAGCCUACAACCAAAGAAACAAAGGAAGAGUAACGGCAAACUAACAGAAGCAGUCGUGAGAGGCGCCUCCGCGCAUGAAAAUGACGGAGAUAGUGCUCCUUUCUCUGAAAGGAUAAAGCUUUUACAAUGGUUAUGAUGUUAAAGAUGAUCAUUUAUUAAUAUUUUUGGUUUAUGCUUAUUAAGGUGAUGACAACAGUUCAACGGGGUAAGAGAACGAACUACUAUGGGCAGCUUCGUCGCCACGAAAACUGAAGAUCGGUAUUGUUCUCUCCAAAGGUCAACCACCUGGUGGGCACACUGUCAUACAUGGACCAGUCGGUGAGUCAAAACCUUAUUCUACACAACCACUCAUUCCAUAUCUCUCUGUCAAGAGUCAGUAAUCAGGAGUCAUCUCAUAAAACAUUCUCAAGAGCGGAGUAGCAGGAUCCCUCCUAUUUCAUUAUCUGUGCUCUUUUUAGAAAGUUGUGAGCAGGUUGAUGUUGUCAUUAUCACCUCUAAGUUUUCAUGCUGAUGUAUCAAAGACAUGCAUUGAGCUGAAGAAGCAUCUCAUCACUGCUAGCUAUGUUGAUGGUGAAACAUCCAUGUGACAUGAGAUGGCUAAGAAUGCUUGGAUUACGGUUCUUGGUGACACGACAUCUCACUACUUGGCCUAAAGGAAAAUUGAGGUGGUGACCUUAUAAUCGAGAGGCUCAUAUCAGCAAGGGACAAGUGAAGUCUUUCACCUCUUCCUGUGGUAGUCUUCCCUUUUUUUGCUGCUGCAAAUAAUCCAUUAGCCGAUUCAAUGACUUCAGUCGGAUAUACUUUUUUUUUUUUGUCACGAACAGUCGGAUAUACUUAAAUCAUGCAAUAAUGUGAUGAGGACCAUACAUUCACCUUCCUCUUAUUUAAUAUUUUUUAUGUAUCUUUCUUUUAGGAAUUAUAAUAUAAUGCAAUAUUAUUUUACAGUAAAAGCACAUCAGUGUUACACCAACAAAGAAUUCUAAAUAGAAAAAAUAACAAUUACAGCAGAAGAAAAAUUUAGGAAAAACGGUAAACAUAUAAAGUUAACUUUAAAAAAAAGGAUUCACAUAGAGAAAAAUGUAUUUAUUAUAUACAGAAAUUAAUUAUUAAAUAAAUAAAAUAAAAUUGUAACAAAUUCAAAGUCAUUCAAUAAUAAAAUAUAGUUUUUUGUCAUCAAUAUACGUACUCAAACUGACUCUAUAAAUCAGGAAGGAAGCUCUAAAUCUAUGUGAACGAUGAAAGACGAUUGUAAAUUGUCACUGUAAGAAGUUAAUGUAAAUUCAUAUUCAGAAAAUUAAUCAAUAACACAUAUCAAAAAAUUUAAAUAGUUACUCAUAUAACAUGGUUUAUUUGGUGUCCAAAUGUAAUAACUUAUAAAAAAUUCAAAUAAAUAUCUAUAUUCCUAAAUAGUAACUAUUGAUAUUAGGUUAUCAUGCUACCCACCUAACUUAAAAUAACUUUUAUUAUAAUAAAAUGACUAUUAUUAUUUGUCUGCAUCGUCUAAAAACAAGAAUUAUACAAAAAUGUACCAAAAAACAGUGAAUUUAAAAUAAACAUAUAAGAGAAAAAUAAUCUAUGUUAGCCCUUUUUUCAAAAAAUAAAAUAAAAAUAAUAAUCUAUGUUUUCUGUGUUAAACUCAGCCGACCAAAGUUUUUUAAAAAACAUUCUAAUUACUAUCAAAAUCAAAGUAGAAUGAACAUUAGAAUCAAACUAAAACGGUAACACUUUCAUUAAAUAAAAUAAUUGAGAAAUAAAUAUAUGAUUUGAAAAUAGAUGUGGAACACAUUAUUAUUACAAACAAAUGAAACAGUUUGUUUCCAUGGAAUCGACAAAAGAUCUAUAAUUGUUGUACCAAAUAAAAGUGAAAAAAUAAAACAAAACUUAAGAAUGAUUCGAAUAAUUCAAAUACUCAUUGAAAAUAAAAAAAAUAUGUACUUACACAAUUCGAACAAGAGACAUAAUAUAAAACAACUCGACUUGGAUCAUAUUUAGAGUAGUAUAAAAUAAAAUAAGAAUUAUAAAAGAUCUAUCUAUUGAAGACGAGGUAAAUAUUUUCACAUAAACGGUUCCAAAAGAAAGAUAGGAUACCAUAAAUAAAUAAAAUAACAAUUGACACAUAAUACACAAACAAAUUGAAAAAUGUAAACGUUAAAUUUAACGAAUACAAAUAUUAUUUUAAAUAAAAUAAAUCAGUAUAUAGAAUUAGCUAGAUAUUACAAAUACUAAUACCUCUCGGCCGAACUAAUUAUAUUCUGAGAACUAAACAAUAAUAUAUAUAUAAAUAUAUAUAUAAUUAAAAAAACAGUUAGUCAAUAUAACUUAACUUUCAAUAUAGAGUAAACUAAAUAAUUUAAAUGAAUUUUACCAAUUAAUUUAUUUUAACAGUUUUUUUAUUUGCUUACCCGCCUGUAGGGCGGAUUUUACCCUAGUGUAUAUAUAUAUAUAUAUAUAUAUAUAUAAUAGACGUAUUCAACCUAUAGGUUUACCAACCAAUAGGAUUGUCUUAUUUCAUAUUCGAUAUCUUUAAAAAAAAAUUGAAUAUUGUUAAAUUAUAUUAUGUUUUUACAAUUAAAAGAUAAGAAAAUAAAAAAUAAAUAAAAUAGUAGUAAUUACAAAAGAAACAUUUUUAACGUCGUGAGCAAAACACUAAAUCCUAAAUUCCUAAACCCUAAAUCCUGAACCCUAAAUCCUAAAUCCUUGGUAAACCUUGAACUAUAGGAUAAAUCUUAAACUAUAAAUCAAAAUCACUAAACACUAAAACA